GUGGCUACCCUCAGACCCCUCGUGAAGCCCAGGAUUGUGAAAAACAGAACCAAGAAGUUCAUCUGGCACCAGUCAGAUCCAUAUGUCAAAAUUAAGUGUAAAUGGCAGAAACCCAGAGGUACUGACAACAGGGUUCAUAGAAAGUUCAAGGGCUGCUCAACAUUAGUUAUAGGAGUAACAAAAAAACAAAGCACAUGCCGCCCAGUGGCUUCCGGAAGUUCCUGGUCCACAAUGUCAGGGGGUUAGAAGUGCUGCCGAUGUGCAACAAAUCUUACUGUGCUGAGAUGGCUCACAAUGUUUCCUCCAAAAAUGGCAAAGCCAUCAUGGAAAGAGUAGCCCAGCUGCUCUCAGAGCCACCAACCCCAAGGCCAGGCUGCACAGCGAAGAACAGGAA
rnacentral:lncRNA from 1 species